CAUCACUUGGAGAUAGACGAUUAGUCGAUCCUAAGAGAUGGGGAAUCCUUGUAUCAACGGUGCACUCUGCAUGAACAUCGAAAGAGAAUUGGGUUAAUAUUCCUGAAUCAGGACAUGGUGGUGGAUGACAAUGUUAGGAAAUCUGGAGAUGUCAUUGGGGGCCUGGGAAGAGUUAUCUUUUCUUUUUAACAACUUUCCCACCCUGAAAUUGGUUCAAUUGGAGAUAGGGUCCAACAUCUGGAAGAGAACCACAUGUCUUGCAGUGUUUGGUGCCCCCUCAGAGGCCAUUGAAAAUAUGGAGAUCCGAGUACCAUCCAUGCCCGAUCGCACUCAUAUCUGCCUCCUUGGAUUUUUCAAUGCCC
rfam:Picea glauca, whole genome shotgun sequence.